GAACUAAACUGCCAACAUCCCAGGAACUCUCUCCCAGGAACUCUUAUCGAGUUUGCCUCCCUUCUCUUACUGACUGUAAAACAAAGAAAUCUGUCUUCAGUUCCAUGAUGUCCCACAUGUCACUGUGACUAAUCCCCAGCCAUUUUUAUUUACAGAGUUCAGAAUGAGUUUCUAUGACAAUCCCAUGCCAUUCUCAAUGUUACACACACAUUUUCUGCCUUUUGAAAAUAAUUACAGAACAAAUCGUUUGUUCUGCGCGCCAUACGAAGAAAAGCACAUAUAUUAAUGGCUGUAGAAAGAUUUCAAUUUCAGAUUAAACUGCAAGCCAGUAUAACAGAGAACAAAUGUUUUCUAAUAUCUGGGGACCCCAGAUUUUUGUUGUUGUUGCUGUUGUUGCUGUGUGCAUUCCAUGUAUCAGACAUGUAAUACAGUUCUUCUCCUUCUACCACCACCUACACACACUUUCCCAGAAGACCCUCACAACUGUCCUAUAACCACACCGACACACACUCACACAUACAGGACCCCUUAAUACAUGUUUUCUUUUCACAAGAGAAAAAAAGCAAAGCAGCUGGAGACCUUGGACAACUGAAAAUCCACUUCCAUGUCAAAGUCUCAAGGUUGCUAACUUUCUUCGGAGAUGGAGCAAAACAGAGAAUUUAGGUGGCUCGGCUACUGGGACUUGGCUGCUUUUUAGUAACUACUACCAACUGCCAAGUGCAUUCAUCAUGGCUUGUUCUCAGGGCCCUCCCUUCCUUUCUGUUUGUCACCCCCUCACUCUCCUGCUCUUUAGUGUGCCUAGAACUCUGUUUCAUACUUCAGCAUUACUUGAAGGAUGUCCUUUAAAAAAAAAGCAGAGUUUUUUUUUAUGCACCACCAGCUUUCUUUAGAGAAGACAUGCUAUGGUGAACUAUUAAAUAAUAGAAACCACCUGUGCCCUGUUCUGUGUCUGCUUGGAUUUUCUUUCCAUUUACGGAGAUAUUUUUGACACAAGAAAACAAAAAACUUAACACUUAGUAGAAGUAUCGUUGAAUCAUAGGAUUCAUCAACGGACACCAACUGCACAGUAAAAAGGCAGUAUCGACAACUGGUUCCGCAAAUGUUUAAAACUUCAUAUGGGCUAUCAGUUGGGAGAAAGCAAGUUUUAAAAAUCAAAAGCCCUUAAAAAUCUUAGUUUCAUGGAGUUCCCAUCAUGGUGGAGCAGAAACAAAUCCAGCUCGGAACCAUGAGGAACUCCCCAGAGGGCACUUUUAACCCCAUCCAUAAAUUCGAAGGCAGAGCUUAGGGAGUCUGAUAUAUUGGAGAACACGUGAGAGAGAAAUAUGGGCCAUGGAAGAGCUGGACCUCGUCACUAGCCCUAACCGCUUACCAGCCACGUACCAUGGACAUGUUACUCAGUUUCUCCAUUGCUCACCAGCAUAAAGGCAAUGAUAAAAGCCCCCCUACCUAAAAUGUAAGGUUUAUGUGAAGCGCUAAUAAAAUAGCGUGUAAGAAGAGCCAACUUAAAUAUUACAGAGGUUAACAAUAUGAGUCUGAGGUCUGAUGGAUCUGGCUUUCAUCCUGGCUCUGCUACUUACCACUGGCGUGAACGUGAAUGAGUUACGAACACUCUCUGAAUCUCUGUUUCCUGAAUAACAGGAGUAAAACCACAAGAAAAGCCAUCGACCAUCUCUGCUCACCCUCGCCACCCAACAUGCAAAAUUCUCCAAGACUUGGAGACGGCCAAAAGGAAAACAAAACAGAAACAAAGAAACCCACAUAAAGCCAGAGAAACUCGGAUCCACAACUGAGAAAACCAACAAAGCCAAUCCGAAGAAAUGGCACCCAGCUAUGGAAACUCCUUGCAGGGCCCAAAGUGUUUAAAGAGUCGGCCACAGAAUGCACCAGCACAGAGCGAAACGCACUGUUGCAGCUGCUCGGGCCUCAGUCUUAAAAAGGUGAUUGGUGAGGAAGGGCCGAACAUGUGAAUCUCUAACCGUCCGUCCAUGUUCCUCUCCAAUCUGCCUCCCUCCAGUUCUGCUGUCUCAUGACCUGGCCUCACUUACUCAGCACCACUCCCAGGCCAGCACCUCCAAGGCUCAAGUGCAAAUAAAGUAAAAAGCUAUGCAUAAUCAGUCUUUAUAUAGCAAAAUGGAAAAUGUCUCUCUUUGAAGAAUCACAAAGCUUUCUGUCUGAAACCUCUGACCUUUCUAGAGAAAUCAGAGUCACUGCAGUCGAAAAAUGUAGGUGGUAAAAGUACAAAGGAUUACAUUUAUCCAUUCUGCAUGUUUGCCUUCUUUUCUGAGAUGAGGGGCAAAUACCUUCAGAACAAUUAGUUCUUCAAUCUUAACAUUUCAGGCUGCAAUAUCCUCGUUCUCCAAAAACUGUACACAUCCUGGACUCAGUGAGAUGGCACUUUUCUGUUAAUUUCUUCCCCCACUUUCUGUGACAGAAAAUCUAAAAUAUACGAUUCCAGAAGCUUUUUAAAAAAUAAGACGUUGUACAGCAAAUGAGCCAAGAAAAGAAUAAAAACUCAUUUGAAUCUUUUUAAAAACCACCAUAAUCUUCGGUUGGGUCAGGAGGGUAAAGGACUUCCAAAAGAACAUUUAAAAGGAAAAAAGGCAUUCUUCAUAAAAGUCCUUGUCACAUAUUAAGAGGCCAUACAAUAAAAGUAUUGCAAUGAUUAUCUUUCCCUGACAGGAACGUACAACAAUAGUUACGCUGUUGAACAGCAUCAAAUUACAAAGACUUCAUUCUCAGAAGUUACUUGAAACUACUCUCCCUAAGAGAACCUCCACCAUUUAAAAGAGGGGAGAAAAAGCCAACUAAAUGAAUCAAGCCAGAAACUUUAGUAACUCAGUAAUUUUUAUAUAAAAUGCAUCCGUGCAAAAAUCUUUGCCACAGCCACACAAAGAUGCAAGCAAGCUUUUGUCAAGUUCUUAUCCAAAAUCCUUGCUUCAUCUUAAUUGUUUGCAACCCACUUAUCUUUUAACUUCCAAUUAUUUAAUGCUAAAAAUAUAUUUUCAGAUAUACACCAUUUUCCGCCAAUUGCAUUGUGAACAGCUAACAUUAUUUACGAAUUAUAUUCAGCAUAAAAGAUGUUGACAAUUUUCCUUGUUAUCUGCUAUCAUAU
rnacentral:lncRNA from 1 species